rnacentral:rRNA from 1 species
CCUACGGGGGGCAGCAGUGGGGAAUAUUGGACAAUGGGCGAAAGCCUGAUCCAGCCAUGCCGCGUGUGUGAAGAAGGCCUUCGGGUUGUAAAGCACUUUCAGUGGGGAAGAAAGCCUUGGGGCUAAUACCCUCGAGGAAGGACAUCACCCACAGAAGAAGCACCGGCUAACUCCGUGCCAGCAGCCGCGGUAAUACGGAGGGUGCGAGCGUUAAUCGGAAUUACUGGGCGUAAAGCGCGCGUAGGCGGUCUGAUAAGCCGGUUGUGAAAGCCCCGGGCUCAACCUGGGAACGGCAUCCGGAACGGUCAGGCUAGAGUGCAGGAGAGGAAGGUAGAAUUCCCGGUGUAGCGGUGAAAUGCGUAGAGAUCGGGAGGAAUACCAGUGGCGAAGGCGGCCUUCUGGACUGACACUGACGCUGAGGUGCGAAAGCGUGGGUAGCAAACAGGAUUAGAUACCCAGUAGUC